GUUCGGUGGCCAGCAGUUGCUCAGUACUCAGUGUAGAUCCUGUGGGGCAGGCAGCAGCUACAUCUGGCUACUGGGUCUCUGCUGGC
rnacentral:pre_miRNA from 10 species